rnacentral:tRNA from 1 species
GGAGAAAUGGCUGAGCGGUUUAAAGCGGUAGAUUGUAAAUCUAUUGAGUUUUCUCAUCGUAGGUUCGAAUCCUACUUUCUCCUA